rnacentral:tRNA from 1 species
GCCUGGGUGGCUCAGUCGGUUGAGCGUCCGACUUCGGCUCGGGUCACGAUCUCCCGGUUCACGGGUUCGAGCCCCGCGUCGGGCU